CACGUAUUUAGCCGGGGCUUCUUAGUCAGGUACCGUCAUUUUCUUCCCUGCUGAUAGGGCUUUACAUGCCGAAGCACUCCAUCGCCCACGCGGCGUCGCUGCAUCAGGGUUCCCCCCCAUUGUGCAAUAUCCCCCACUGCUGCCUCCCGUAGGAGUCUGGGCCGUGUCUCAGUCCCAAUGUGGCCGCCCACCCUCUCAGGCCGGCUACUGAUCGUCGCCUUGGUGGGCCGUUGCCCCGCCAACCAGCUAAUCAGACGCGGGCCCAUCCUGCACCGCCGGAGCUUCCCCCGCCGCCCCAUGCGGGGCUGCGGGCAUAUGCGGUAUUAGCAGCCGUUUCCGGCUGUUGUCCCCCAGUGCAGGGCAGGUUGCCCACGCGUUACUCACCCGUCCGCCACUGGGCAGCGCCGGCUUCCGCUCCGAAAAGCCUCAGCCUGCGCGCCCCGUUCGACUUGCAUGUGUUAGGCACGCCGCCAGCGUUCACUCCUGACGCCGAGGACUCGUAAA
rnacentral:rRNA from 1 species